AGGCAGCUACGCAAUAUUAUUAAAAAACCAGAUAUUGUUGGUGAUCGUUUGUUUGCCGAUUAAAUGAAUAACAAUUUAACUUCAAAUUGAAGAAAUACAACCAAAUUACUCAAAUUAAAUGAAUGCAGAGGAGAAAUAUUUCUUCACUUAAGGUGUCCAUGGGUGACGGCACUCGUGGUCGUGGCAGAUACAGUGUAUGACUAGACCAUAUAAAACUUGAUGGGCGAGACAAGAAAUCUUUUAUGAAGAAAGCUAUUUACGUUAGCCAAGGGGCUGAUAGAAAGAAUAUUUAAUAAAUUAAUUGGAAUAAUAAAUAUUUUCCUCGUGAUGGUGUGAUAAAAUAAAUUCGUGUUGCGCUCUGUAGCAAAGUUUGUUUAACCCUCAUGUCUUGAAGUCCCCGCAACUGUCAAUACAAUUUUAUUUUAAAACCGCUGUCGCUUCUCUUGUGGUUCAAUUUUGUAAUUUUUCUUACGUUUGAGUAUCCAUAUGCUACCAUGAGGUGUUAAACAACAACUUUGCCUUUUGUAUUUCUAGGUAAUACAACUGAAUUAUUGCUUCUUUUAUCUCAAAAAUGGCUUUGAAAUGACAAAGUGAGAAAGUGUCACGAUAUUAUACACCGUGGGCUGGUAAAACCUGAUAGUUUUAAAGUUGUAUUCUUAAUCG